rnacentral:lncRNA from 1 species
CUUCCCAGCCUCCAUAACUCUUCCUGAGCAGCUCCGGAUCAGAAAUGGGUUAUAGAGAGUCCCUGAAGAGUGAUGUGGAGCUGUUCUGCAUGGAUAGAAACUUUAGGAAAUCCCCAUGUCUGGGAUGUGGCACAGCUGCCCAGUGAGGUGGUGGGGUCACUGCCCCUGGAGAUAGUCCUGGAGAGCCAUGGAGGAGCAUGGAGCAAACAACGGCUGGGUCUGCUUGUGGAGAAGGCCCUUGCAAGCAAAUAUCCCUUGAUGAAACAGUCUCAUGAACUGCAAAGCUUCUUCACCGAGGCGCACUGGAACAAGCUACAUUGAGAUGUGCAAUUUGGCUUUCUAAACUCCCCUGGAAAGAAUUUGCAGCCUGGUGAGCAGGCAGAACAAGUACAUUGGGGCAAACACUGCCAGCCCCCGGCGCCCUCCUGCAGAGCAGAAGUCAAAGAAGCAGCUGGCAUCUUUUCCUCCUGCUUUCUGUAGUCUAACUCAUGUUUGUAGCGCUUUGAUUUCUAUGUCGGCGGUCAGGAUGUUCUUCUUUGAGGAAAGCAAAGCCUGGCUCACUGAUUUGAGCCUUCAUGAUGGACAAAGAUGAGAAACGUUGGUGUGGCAGAGAGAAGGCACGGCAGAAACCUCUUCUGCUGGAGAUGCCUGGAUUAGUGGCUCUCACUCAUGGCAGCGUGGCCUUUUAGUUUUUAUUUCCUAUUAUAGAUGAUUGAUUUUUCACUCUGUGCUGCAUGGAAAUGUCUGUCUGCUUUCCACUUAAAAGCUUUGUGUUGCUCAUGGAGCUUGUGUGCUAUAUAUAUAUAUAUAUGUAGCCUAUAGGAGUCAUCUCAACUAUUCCCACAUGGGAACAACUCUGCAUCCACCAAAAUUUUCAUCCAGCUGCCUGAUUUGGUUCCCCUGUCAAUAAAAACAAGAAGACCCAAACAUUG